ACGCUCGACACCUACGGGGGCAGCAGUGGGGGAAUAUUGCACAAUGGGGGAAACCCUGAUGCAGCGACGCCGCGUGAGUGAAGAAGUAUUUCGGUAUGUAAAGCUCUAUCAGCAGGGAAGAGAAUGACGGUACCUGACUAAGAAGCCCCGGCUAACUACGUGCCAGCAGCCGCGGUAAUCUGAGCGGGCUGGCAAGGC
rnacentral:rRNA from 1 species